UAACCUACCUAUAAGACUGGGAUAACUUCGGGAAACCGGAGCUAAUACCGGAUAACAUAUUGAACCGCAUGGUUCAAUAGUGAAAGGCGGCUUUGCUGUCACUUAUAGAUGGAUCCGCGCCGUAUUAGCUAGUUGGUAAGGUAACGGCUUACCAAGGCAACGAUACGUAGCCGACCUGAGAGGGUGAUCGGCCACACUGGAACUGAGACACGGUCCAGACUCCUACGGGAGGCAGCAGUAGGGAAUCUUCCGCAAUGGGCGAAAGCCUGACGGAGCAACGCCGCGUGAGUGAUGAAGGUCUUCGGAUCGUAAAACUCUGUUAUCAGGGAAGAACAAAUGUGUAAGUAACUGUGCACAUCUUGACGGUACCUGAUCAGAAAGCCACGGCUAACUACGUGCCAGCAGCCGCGGUAAUACGUAGGUGGCAAGCGUUAUCCGGAAUUAUUGGGCGUAAAGCGCGCGUAGGCGGUUUUUUAAGUCUGAUGUGAAAGCCCACGGCUCAACCGUGGAGGGUCAUUGGAAACUGGAAAACUUGAGUGCAGAAGAGGAAAGUGGAAUUCCAUGUGUAGCGGUGAAAUGCGCAGAGAUAUGGAGGAACACCAGUGGCGAAGGCGACUUUCUGGUCUGUAACUGACGCUGAUGUGCGAAAGCGUGGGGAUCAAACAGGAUUAGAUACCCUGGUAGUCCACGCCGUAACGAUGAGUGCUAAGUGUUAGGGGG
rnacentral:rRNA from 1 species